rnacentral:ncRNA from 1 species
CGGGAUAAAAUCCCGUUGGAAUGUGAUCUUUAAAGAAAAGAUUGAACCAUGAA